rnacentral:rRNA from 1 species
UAACGACUCUCGGCAACGGAUAUCUCGGCUCUCGCAUCGAUGAAGAACGUAGCGAAAUGCGAUACUUGGUGUGAAUUGCAGAAUCCCGUGAACCAUCGAGUCUUUGAACGCAAGUUGCGCCCGAAGCCAGUAGGCCGAGGGCACGCCUGCCUGGGCGUCUCACA